UGGGGGGAGGGAGGGGAGGCACCAAUACCAGAAAGAAUGGAAACCGAGAUGAAGAAAUGAAAGGAAAUGCAGAUAUUGACCCAAGCAACUCAGACUUCAGAAAGCCGGGCUGAAUUUUUAAUUUCAGGUGUGGAACCUCAUCGGAAAUUUGAAUUCUUAAAUGUUUUUCCUGGAAGAUCGGUCUCCAGAGUUUUAGGAUGCCCCAAUCAGACUUUCAAAAAAAUCUUUUUGUCCGCUUUGUAUCAAUACCAAGCAAUAAAUGAUAGUUUAAAAAGCAAACCAGCAGAGUACCCAAUUAAGCUCACUCUGGGUCUAAAUUGAGGUCCUUUUUUAGAGUUGUAAUUAUAAACGGAAACAAAGAGGCAGGGCGUGGCCUGAGUUAUGAUUGAGCGGGAUCAUACGGAAGCGACUUAAAUUUUGAUAAGGAGAAAUUUCUCUUGCGAUUCCCUUACUCCCAACUUGCACUGGAUCUUGGGACCGGAAUCUGAGAGCCUUUUCCGCGCCUCAGGGGCUCCUCUCUCCUUCUAUCUGCAAGUCCUCAACAUUAAAUGCUCAAUUUCUUACCGCCACUUAGCAUGGAGUGAUCAAAAGCCUCCUCAAAGCAGGGACUGGAAAAGAACAGAAAAUCAGUGCGGGCAGCUACUCAACAACUGAUCACAAAGGAGGAUGCAAAAUACAACCAAAUAAAACUUCCCAGAAAGGAAGCAUAUGUUGUUAUUUUUUCAUUGCGUCUCCCCCUACCCACUCACCCUCACCCGCGAGGAAAUGUCAUUGGAUCUCCAGCCUGGACAUAGAGACCAUUCUGAACAUUUCUCUUCUACUAUGGAGAUACAAGCAUGGUUUUAAUGCCGCUGACCUACAGCAAUAGCACCUGUAAACACCCG
rnacentral:lncRNA from 1 species